rnacentral:lncRNA from 1 species
UGGAUAUUAGGAUUUGUAUAAUGUAUCAAGAACCACAUAAUCCAAUGGUUAGUUUUACUCCAAGAUGAGAGAGUUGUUGAUUUUUGUCCGUUCGAUAUGGGAAAUACGUAAAACCUUAUCAUUAUAUAUAGUGUGGUGGGCAACUAUGCAAAGACCAUCUUGGAAGUUUAAAGGAAAAAAAAGGAAAAGAGAGAAAGAGAAAUCUUUCUGUCUUAAGUGUAAUUAACAAUGGCUUCC